AUGUAAAGGAAUGCCGGGCGCAGGUCAUCCCUGUCACUGCUAUUCGUUUGGUCAGUUUGUUGUGAAAGUUUCCAGUAUUUCCACGGAUGUUUCAACGGUUUUUCGUUGCUGCGUGUUUGUAAUUUUACCGAUGUAAUAAGGAUGACUUGACUAAUUUGGUAUGGCAGAAAACGUUAAGGUCAUAGUAAGAUGUCGGCCUAUGAACAAAACAGAAACUCAACUCAACUGUCAGUGUGUGGUAAAAGUAAAUAACUGCGUGGUAGAAACAUGGGACCCCAACGAUGGUCCAGCUUUUGCAAAACAGUUCACCUUCGACUCGACCUACGGGCAAGAGUCCACUACCGAAGCUAUAUAUAACGAUAUCUGCUAUCCACUCGUUGAGAGUGUGUUAGAAGGAUACAAUGCCACCAUAUUUGUAUAUGGUCAAACCGGCUGUGGGAAAUCGUUUACUAUGGAAGGAAUAAAGGCAGAAAACAGUCCCCAAAAGGGAGUGAUCUCUAGAGCAUUUGAACAUAUUUUCGAAGCAAUAUCUGUAACUAGCGGAGUGAAAUAUCUAGCUUUAGUAAGCUAUUUGGAGAUAUACAAUGAACAAAUAAGAGACUUAUUACUGCCAAGCGACAAACCUGUUGGCUCUUUAUCGUUAAAAGAAACUCCAAAUGAGGGCGUUACAGUUCCAGGUUUGUCAUUAGUGCCAGUUCAUAACGCAGCCGAAUGCGAGAAUUUGUUAAAUGUAGGCUCAAAAAACCGGAUGAUCGGUGCCACUCUUAUGAACCAAAAUAGCUCAAGAUCUCAUAGUAUUUUUUCAGUCAGCGUAGAACAAAUUAGUAAUUUAAAUAAUAAUGAAAAUAUUAGAAAAGGUAAACUAAAUUUAGUAGAUUUAGCUGGAUCUGAAAGACAAACUAAAACAGGAGCAACUGGAGAAAGACUGAAAGAAGCCACAAAAAUUAACCUAUCCCUAAGUGCUCUUGGAAACGUCAUAUCUGCCUUGGUGGAUGGCAAAGCGAAACAUAUUCCUUAUCGAGACUCAAAACUCACAAGGUUAUUACAAGACUCUUUGGGGGGAAACACGAGGACGCUGAUGAUAGCAUGUGUAAGUCCUUCAAGCAGAGAUUACAUAGAAACGUUGUCAACGUUAAGAUAUGCGAAUAGAGCUAAAAAUAUUCACAACAAACCGAAAGUAAACGAGGACCCAAAAGAUACAAUACUCCGCCAAUACCAAGAAGAAAUAUCAAGACUAAAAGCUCUACUAGAAAACAAACCGACGAUAAUAAACAACGACAUCGAAGUAGAAGACUUAACGAUGACACCUGAAGAAGAAAUAAACCGAAACGUGCCUUCCACUGUCGCCAAUCCAGACUUAGAUUCAAAACGAGACAAAUUACUCGAACAAUACCAACAAGAAAUGAAAAAGCUGAAGUCCUUACAUGAAAACGAGAAGAUAGAGAAAGAAAAUAUCAUCAAGCAGAUACAAAAGAUCAAGGAGGAAUACGACGAAAAUAUAAAAAAGUUAAAUACGGAGAUAAGUGUGAAUAAAAAGAAAGAAGAAACGUCGGAGGAUGAGAUAUUGAAGAGGAUGGAGGCCCUGAAGGCGUCGAUGAUCGGAGGAGAAAAAGCAAAUGACUACGAAUUGUCGGAGAGACGAAAACGGAAGAAACAAGCAGCCGAAGAAAGAGCAAAUGUUAUUGCUCAUUUACUGGCCAAAAUUGAAAUGAACGAAGAUAGAGAACUGCUCCAUAACCAAUACAGGGACAUAAGUCAGGAGCUCCAUCUAAAAACGGACGUUCUUAGAAAGUACAGGCACAAAGUGAAAAUAAUGGAGAAGGAAAUUAGCGAUAUUCAAAGCGAAUUCGAAUCCGAGAGGCAAGACUACCUGGAAACGAUAAGAAAACAAGAACGAAAUAAUAAACUAAUUAGCCAAAUUUCCGAUAAACUUGUGGGAACCCUCAAAAAAGAGUGUAAUUACAGUGAUUUAGAAGCGAUAAAGGAACAAGCGAUAUGGUUAGAGGAUUCCCAAAAAUAUAGACUUCCCGAUUUGGUUAUACCAAGGACAAGAUUACCUCCAGCCGCAGCGAAUGGACGGAAUCGAGAGGGAAAAUAUCAUCAGCAAUUAUUUUCAACCACCAACAAAAAGGGUCAAUGAACUUUUGAGACAAUCUGCGAAAUUGGAUGCUGCGACGGUUAUACAAACGUGGAAAGGCCGAAAUGGUCGUGUAACUUUUCCAGAAUUUGCUAGAAGAAAUAAAUCCACAGAGGACUCUGAUCGACGAAGUUCUCCGAAGAAAAAACACAUAUUUAAUGGAAAUGGCUACGGACCCAACCUUUGGCUCAACG
rnacentral:misc_RNA from 1 species